GAUGAACGCUGGCGGCGUGCCUAAUACAUGCAAGUCGAGCGAAUGGAUUAAGAGCUUGCUCUUAUGAAGUUAGCGGCGGACGGGUGAGUAACACGUGGGUAACCUGCCCAUAAGACUGGGAUAACUCCGGGAAACCGGGGCUAAUACCGGAUAACAUUUUGAACCGCAUGGUUCGAAAUUGAAAGGCGGCUUCGGCUGUCACUUAUGGAUGGACCCGCGUCGCAUUAGCUAGUUGGUGAGGUAACGGCUCACCAAGGCAACGAUGCGUAGCCGACCUGAGAGGGUGAUCGGCCACACUGGGACUGAGACACGGCCCAGACUCCGACGGGAGGCAGCAGUAGGGAAUCUUCCGCAAUGGACGAAAGUCUGACGGAGCAACGCCGCGUGAGUGAUGAAGGCUUUCGGGUCGUAAAACGCUGUUGUUAGGGAAGAACAAGUGCUAGUUGAAUAAGCUGACACCUUGACGGUACCUAACCAGAAAGCCACGGCUAACUACGUGCCAGCCGCCGCAGUAA
rnacentral:rRNA from 1 species